AGGAUAAUAAUUAAAAAAUAAUAUUUAUUUUGCAUAUAAAAUUUAAUAGCGAGUUAUUUUAUCUUA
rnacentral:tRNA from 1 species